CUGGGUUUUGUGUUUACCUCGG
rnacentral:siRNA from 1 species